CCAUUUUGGUGUCCAUACACCCUGUGACAAACACUAGUUUUACUGUGCUCAAGACAUUUCCCUUCUAUUUCGUAUAUUAUGUUCCCCGAAUCCCAUUCAUGUUUCCCAAAUUCUGGAGCAGCAAUCUACCAAACACCAACCACCCUCCUGACUCAUUAACUACAAACUAACCACAAACUUAAGUGCUCUCCCUGUGUGGCCGCCGUUUGUAUAACCGACCAACACAUGCUGUGGAAAAUGGUGGUCCUCUUGUUGCACGAACGCAGGCAGCGGCACUUGUU